rnacentral:rRNA from 1 species
GGCCUACGGGAGGCAGCAGUGGGGAAUAUUGGGCAAUGGGCGCAAGCCUGACCCAGCAACGCCGCGUGAAGGAAGAAGGCUUUCGGAUUGUAAACUUCUUUUCUCAGGGACGAAGCAAGUGACGGUACCUGAGGAAUAAGCCACGGCUAACUACGUGCCAGCAGCCGCGGUAAUACGUAGGUGGCAAGCGUUAUCCGGAUUUACUGGGUGUAAAGGGCGUGUAGGCGGGACUGCAAGUCAGAUGUGAAAACCAUGGGCUCAACCUUGGGCCUGCAUUUGAAACUGGAGUUCUUGAGUACUGGAGG